rnacentral:rRNA from 1 species
CACGCCCUAAACGAUGAUUACUCGACAUUUGCGAUAUACAGUAAGUGUCUGAGCGAAAGCAUUAAGUAAUCCACCUGGGAAGUACNUACGCGAGGAACCUUACCUGGGCUAGAAUGCAAGAUGCCCGUCUGUGAAAGCAGAUUUUGUAGCAAUACACAUUUUGUAAGGUGC